CACCCUCUCCUCUUCUUCUCCUUCGCUGUCUUCUUCUCGACUUCAUGGCGACCACCGCUUUCUCCAACUCCGGAGCCAUCUCGAGCUACUCCUUCCCUCCCCCAAUCCCGAACCCUAAUUUUUUCCCCGCAAAGUUGAAUUGGUCCUCCAAAUCUCCGAGCUCUGGCCGUUCCGCAAUAGUCCGGCGUCUGAGGAGGUACUGCUCUCCGGUGCCGGAUUCUUCGUGCUCUUUGGAUCUCCCGCUGCUUCCCUUCGAAUUGGAUGAGGUUUUAAUCCCAUCUGAGUUCAAGACAUUGCAUUUAUAUGAAGCAAGGUUUCUAGCAUUGCUGGAGGAGUCAUUACAAAGAAGGAAGAAGCUUUUUGUUCACUUUGUGCUAGAUCCUGUUCUUACGAGUAGAUCUUCAGCUGGAGCAUCCUUUGCUGCUAGAUAUGGUUGUCUGGUCCUCAUAGAGAGUAUUAAACAAUUGGAGAUUGGAGCACUGGUUUCUAUUAGGGGCAUUGGUCGUGUUCGCAUUGUGAAACUGAUGCAGAUGGAACCAUACCUGAGAGGAGUGGUUGUACCAAUACUAGAUGGUGUCUCUGGUCAGAAGAGUGAAAUAGACUCAAAACUUUCGGAGUUAAGGGAGUCUCUCCAUAAUCUACAUAGUUUGCAAAUCAAACUGAAGGCAUCCAAAAAUGAACUGUUGCAAACUCGUAUAAAGAAUUCUCUGGCAUGGGCUGAAAGAGGAGUUUAUGAAGAUUGUGAUCAAGCUUUUAUUCCAAAUCUAGCUGAGCGUUUAUCUUUCGGAGCACUCCAAACUGUUUCGGGAAUGUCAGAUUCAGAAUUACUAGCUUUGCAAAGUGAAAAGCUACGAGCAAUGGAUUCAAGAGACACUUUAGAAAGAUUGUGCAAUGGAAUUAAGUUCACUAAACAAAACAUUAACAUGGUUGCAGCCAAGCUUGCUAUUCAAUCUCUGUGAAUCUAGUGUUGAUGAUGCAGGAUCCCUGCAGCCAGUUGAACAGGUACCAAGUGGUCAAAUUUCCAGCAAAAACAGGAUCAAGUCUUAUACUACACCCUCUCCCUCAUCAGGCUACUUCUUGGUUUUACCUGCCUAGUCCUCCGGCAUUUUAAGGCUGGAAGUAAAGUGAAGAUUAUCAUUAGGUGCAAAACCUGAUGCACUUCUAGAAGAGCAAGUUAAUGUGGGAGACUUGGAGUGGUUAGUUUUGUUAUUCCGUACUUUUUGAUGAAAGAAUAUUUUUUUUGCAUAGCCAAUAGUUGUUCAUUGACUUGAUUCUAAGAUAUGGUUUUACACAUUGCACAUGUAGUCAUGGUUAUGUUGAGAUUGAGGAGCAUGUUUGAUGUCCUGUUGUCCUAAUUGAUUGACAAAUCUCCUCCCAACUGCAAGAAUAUUUUUAGUUAGGCAACUAGGAGUGAAAACUUUCUAGUUGAAAAAUGAGAAUACUUUUGAUAAUUUACAUAUGAACUUUGACCUUAAGAUGUGUGAGGGAUGGUUGUAAAAGGAUUUUGAUA